CGAGUAAGACAGGUAAUUGCGGCUGCAGGAAGCCGAAAGGCUGCAGGUGAGGAAAGUCCGGGCUUCACAGGGCAGGAUGCCGGAUAACGUCCGGUGGAGGCGACUCCAAGGAAAGUGCAACAGAAAUGUACCGCCUUCCCUACGGAAGGUAAGGGUGGAAGGGCAGUGUAAGAGACUACCGCUCUGCUGGUAACAGCGGGGGCACAUGUAAACCCCAUCCGAAGCAAGGCCGGAAAAAGACAAUGUGGCGGCCCGUCACGUCUUAGGUUGGCCGCUUGAGCCUGUCGGCGACGGCAGGCCUAGAUAGAUGAUUACCAGACGACAUGACCCGGCUUAUCGUCUUGCUCGCUUU
rnacentral:RNase_P_RNA from 1 species